rnacentral:rRNA from 1 species
UACAGAGACUGCAAGCGUUAUUCGGAUUCACUGGGCGUAAAGCGUGCGCAGGCGGUUCGCCGUGUCCGAUGUGAAAGCCCCGGGCUCAACCUGGGAAUGGCAUUGGAAACUGGCUGGCUGGAGUGUGGCAGAGGGGGGUGGAAUUCCACGUGUAGCAGUGAAAUGCGUAGAGAUGUGGAGGAACACCGAUGGCGAAGGCAGCCCCCUGGGCCAACACUGACGCUCAGGCACGAAAGCGUGGGGAGCAAACAGG